rnacentral:rRNA from 1 species
UCGUCACACUAUCAUUAACUGAAUCCAUAGGUUAAUGAGGCGAACCGGGGGAACUGAAACAUCUAAGUACCCCGAGGAAAAGAAAUCAACCGAGAUUCCCCCAGUAGCGGCGAGCGAACGGGGAGGAGCCCAGAGCCUGAAUCAGCAUGUGUGUUAGUGGAAGCGUCUGGAAAGGCGCGCGAUACAGGGUGACAGCCCCGUACACAAAAGCGCAUGUGCUGUGAGCUCGAUGAGUAGGGCGGGACACGUGGUAUCCUGUCUGAAUAUGGGGGGACCAUCCUCCAAGGCUAAAUACUCCUGACUGACCGAUAGUGAACCAGUACCGUGAGGGAAAGGCGAAAAGAACCCCGGCGAGGGGAGUGAAAAAGAACCUGAAACCGUGUACGUACAAGCAGUGGGAGCACAGGUUUACCUGUGUGACUGCGUACCUUUUGUAUAAUGGGUCAGCGACUUAUAUUCUGUAGCAAGGUUAACCGUAUAGGGGAGCCGGAGGGAAACCGAGUCUUAAUUGGGCGUUAAGUUGCAGGGUAUAGACCCGAAACCCGGUGAUCUAGCCAUGGGCAGGUUGAAGGUUGGGUAACACUA